AGCGAUAAGGGAACCUCGAGUGCCAGGUUACAAAUCUGGCUGUCGAGAUGCCUAAAAAGCAUUUCAUAGCAAGGGCCGGGCAAGACCGGUGCCAGCCGCCGCGGUAACACCGGCGGCUCGAGUGGUAACCGUUAUUAUUGGGUCUAAAGGGUCUGUAGCCGGCCGGAUAAGUCUCUUGAGAAAUCUGGCAGCUUAACUGUCAGGCUUUCAGGAGAUACUGUCUGGCUCGAGGCCGGGAGAGGUGAGAGGUACUUCAGGGGUAGGGGUGAAAUCUUGUAAUCCUUGAAGGACCACCAGUGGCGAAGGCGUCUCACCAGAACGGACCUGACGGCAAGGGACGAAAGCUAGGGGCACGAACCGGAUUAGAUACCCGGGUAGUCCUAGCCGUAAACGAUACUCGCUAGGUGUCGGCCACGGUGCGACCGUUGUCGGUGCCGUAGGAAGCCGUGAAGCGAGCCACCUGGGAAGUA
rnacentral:rRNA from 1 species